rnacentral:rRNA from 1 species
UUGUGCCUACGGGGGGCAGCAGUGGGGAAUAUUGCACAAUGGGGGGAACCCUGAUGCAGCGACGCCGCGUGAAGGAAGAAGUAUCUCGGUAUGUAAACUUCUAUCAGCAGGGAAGAAAGAAGACGGUACCUGACUAAGAAGCCCCGGCUAACUACGUGCCAGCAGCCGCGGUAAUACGUAGGGGGCGAGCGUUAUCCGGAUUUACUGUGUGUAAAGGGAGCGUAGACGGCCAUGCAAGCUCGGUGUGAAAGGUGCGGGCAUAACCCGCAGACUGCACUGAGACCUGUAUGGCUGGAUGGCAGGAG